rnacentral:rRNA from 1 species
CCUACGGGGGGCUGCAGUGGGGAAUAUUGGACAAUGGGGGCAACCCUGAGCCAGCCAUGCCGCGUGUGUGAAGAAGGCCCUCGGGUUGUAAAGCACUUUCAGUGAGGAAGAACGCCUGGUGGUUAAUACCCAUCAGGAAAGACAUCACUCACAGAAGAAGCACCGGCUAACUCCGUGCCAGCAGCCGCGGUAAUACGGAGGGUGCGAGCGUUAAUCGGAAUUACUGGGCGUAAAGCGCGCGUAGGUGGCUUGAUAAGCCGGUUGUGAAAGCCCCGGGCUCAACCUGGGAACGGCAUCCGGAACUGUCAAGCUAGAGUGCAGGAGAGGAAUGUAGAAUUCCCGGUGUAGCGGUGAAAUGCGUAGAGAUCGGGAGGAAUACCAGUGGCGAAGGCGGCCUUCUGGACUGACACUGACACUGAGGUGCGAAAGCGUGGGUAGCAAACAGGAUUAGAUACACUAGUAGUA